CAGAGUUCAUGCCCUAACGGGUAGAUCUCCCACCCUUGUGUAUCAUUACCUUUGUUGCUUUGGCAGGCCGUCAGGCUUCGGCCCGGCUACCGGCUCCGGCUGGUAAGCGCCUGCCAGAGGACCCCAAACUCUUUGUAUAAUUGUCGUCUGAGUACUAUUUUAAUAGUUA
rnacentral:misc_RNA from 1 species